rnacentral:snoRNA from 16 species
ACGACCUUACUUGAACAGGAUCUGUUCUAUAGGCUCGUACCGCUGCAUCCUUUACCAAUAAGGAGGCAAGCACUUCAGUCUGGUUGAUGCAUUCUGACCUCUGGGCCAGAGCGUGAUUAACGGCCAGGAUCACCUGAUGGGUGCCCAUCCGACGGCUGUAGAGGAUCGUUCCUGCCUGGUGCAGGGUGGCCCAGAGGUUGUCUGACAGACU